CUGCAAUGCAUAAAUUGAGCAUUGUCCUUCACCACCUUUUCGUAUUAGCAGAUAUCUGAAGUUUCACUAGGACUCCUGAUAGGCCAGAGCCUGUUUGGCUCUAGCAGCCUUGAGUGCCGUGCAAAGACACCUUGAGUGCCGUGCAAAGACACCUUGAGUGCCGUGCAUGGCACUAGUGCUGUAGGUUGCCUACCUCUGGUAUAGUGGUUUUAAUGCAUAGAUGCAGUCCAUUUUCUUGGACAAUGUUAAACAUUACCGUUUCUUACAUAUGGCAAUGUUUACAUUUGGCCAAAAAAUACUUCUAGA